AGACUCUGGAGAAUCUCUUAAAUGAGUGCCGAAGGUGCAAGGCGAAAGCCGAAACUCUCAGGCAAGCGGACAGAGCG
rnacentral:ncRNA from 1 species